rnacentral:rRNA from 1 species
UACGGAGGUCUCAAGCGUUGUUCGGAUUCAUUGGGCGUAAAGGGUGCGUAGGCGGCGCGGUAAGUCGGGUGUGAAAUCUCGGAGCUUAACUCCGAAACUGCAUACGAUACUGCCGUGCUUGAGGACUGGAGAGGAGACUGGAAUUUACGGUGUAGCGGUGAAAUGCGUAGAUAUCGUAAGGAAGACCAGUGGCGAAGGCGGGUCUCUGGACAGUUCCUGACGCUGAGGCACGAAGGUCAGGGGAGCAAACGGG